UCCACGCCGUAAACGAUGAUCACUCGUUGUUGGCGAUACACAGUCAGCGACCAAGGGAAACCGAUAAGUGAUCCACCUGGGGAGUACGAUCGCAAGGUUGAAACUCAAAGGAAUUGACGGGGGCCCGCACAAGCGGUGGAGCAUGUGGUUUAAUUCGAUGAUACGCGAGGAACCUUACCUGGGCUCAAAUGUAAGUUGACAUGACCUGAAAGGGUUUUUUCUUCGGACAAUUUACAAGGUGCUGCAUGGUUGUCGUCAGCUCGUGCCGUGAGGUGUCGGGUUAAGUCCCAUAACGAGCGCAACCCCUACUCUUAGUUGCCAGCAUGUAAUGAUGGGGACUCUAGGAGAACUGCCUACGCAAGUAGAGAGGAAGGUGGGGAUGACGUCAAAUCAGCACGGCCCUUACGUCCAGGGCUACACAC
rnacentral:rRNA from 1 species